rnacentral:rRNA from 1 species
GAUAAACGCUGGCGGCGUGCCUAAUGCAUGCAAGUCGAACGAGCAGGGGGCAACUCCUGCGAGUGGCGGACGGGUGAGGAACACGUACGAGACCUGCCCUCCGAUGGGGAAUACCCUCUCGAAAGCGGGGCUAAUGCCGCAUACGGUUGCUGGGGUAAUACCUGGCAAGGAAAGGCGCUUCGCAAGGGGCGUUGUCGGAGGAGGGGCGUGCGGCCGAUUAGCUGGUUGGUGGGGUAAUGGCCUACCAAGGCUGUGAUCGGUAGCUGGUCUGAGAGGA